UCUUCGGAGCUAGUGGCGGACGGGUGAGUAACGCGUGAGAAUCUGCCUUCAGGAGGGGGAUAACGACUGGAAACGGUCGCUAAUACCCCAUAUGCCUCCGGGUGAAAAGUAAUUCGCCUGAAGAUGAGCUCGCGUCAGAUUAGCUAGUUGGUGGGGUAAGAGCCUACCAAGGCGACGAUCUGUAGCUGGUCUGAGAGGAUGAUCAGCCACACUGGGACUGAGACACGGCCCAGACUCCUACGGGAGGCAGCAGUGGGGAAUUUUCCGCAAUGGGCGCAAGCCUGACGGAGCAAGACCGCGUGGGGGAUGACGGCCUAAUGGUUGUAAACCCCUUUUCUCUGGGAAGAAGACUGACGGUACCAGAGGAAUCAGCCUCGGCUAACUCCGUGCCAGCAGCCGCGGUAAUACGGAGGAGGCAAGCGUUAUCCGGAAUUAUUGGGCGUAAAGCGUCCGUAGGUGGUUAUUCAAGUCUGCUGUCAAAGCGUGGGGCUUAACUCCAUAGAGGCAGUGGAAACUGAGUGACUAGAGUGCGGUAGGGGUCGAGGGAAUUCCCAGUGUAGCGGUGAAAUGCGUAGAUCUUGGGAAGAACACCAGUGGCGAAAGCGCUCGACUGGGCCUGCACUGACACUGAGGGACGAACGCUAGGGGAGCGAAAGGGAUUAGAUACCCCUGUAG
rnacentral:rRNA from 1 species